AACUGUUGGAAGAUAUAUUUUUCUCUGACAACUCUGAGUGCACAUCAUUAGAGGUAGAAACACCUACCAAUAUAUAUAUUCGCGCUGGAAAGCCAUGCGGGCUGAGAAGAGAAGGCACAUAUUGUUGAGUAUGAUUCUUUUGCUCAUCACCUCCAGCCAAUGCAUGGACAGCAAGGAGGUAAAGGAGUCGGAAAGGAAAACUCUGCUUAAUCUAAUCCUGCAAGUGAUCGAGGACAAGCCCGCGUCCAGACGCGUCACCAGUGGCCUCUACUCUGUAUCUCAAGAUGUGAAGUUUUCCUCUCGUGAAAAGACUCCACAUUUGUCCAAGCCGGACAACAGCAGACCAUUAGAUUAUAAAAGAUGUGCACGAUUGCUAACGAGGCUAGCUAUGAGUCCCCUUUGCACACAAUCAUAGAAACCGCAUGUCCUGAGGAUAUAAACGAAGAAACUCCAGAGAUGUUGGAGUAAAUUAUUUUUUCCAAGGAAGUGCCUUCAAAUCACUGCAAUUAACUGUCAUUGUUUUCAUGUCAUUUCCAUUUACAA